rnacentral:rRNA from 1 species
GACGAACGCUGGCGGCGUGCUUAACACAUGCAAGUCGAACGGAAAGGCCCUGCUUUUGUGGGGUGCUCGAGUGGCGAACGGGUGAGUAACACGUGAGUAACCUGCACUUGACUUUGGGAUAAAUUCAGGAAACUGGGGCUAAUACCGGAUAGGAGCUACUGAUGCAUGGUGGGGGUUGGAAAGUUUCGGCGGUUGGGGAUGGACUAGCGGCUUAUCAGCUUGUUGGGGGGGUAGUGGCUUACCACGGCUUUGAAGGGUAGCCGGCCUGAGAGGGUGACCGGCCACAUUGGGACUGAGAUACGGCCCAGUCUCCUACGGGAGGCAGCAGUGGGGAAUAUUGCACAAUGGGCGGAAGCCUGAUGCAGCAACGCCGCGUGCGGGAUGACGUCCUUCGGGUUGUAAACCGCUUUCGCCUGUGACGAAGCGUGAGUGACGGUAAUGGGUAAAGAAGCACCGGCUAACUACGUG